rnacentral:rRNA from 1 species
GAUGAACGCUGGCGGCGUGCCUAAUACAUGCAAGUCGAGCGAACGGACGAGAAGCUUGCUUCUCUGAUGUUAGCGGCGGACGGGUGAGUAACACGUGGAUAACCUACCUAUAAGACUGGGAUAACUUCGGGAAACCGGAGCUAAUACCGGAUAAUAUUUUGAACCGCAUGGUUCAAAAGUGAAAGACGGUCUUGCUGUCACUUAUAGAUGGAUCCGCGCUGCAUUAGCUAGUUGGUAAGGUAACGGCUUACCAAGGCAACGAUGCAUAACCGACCUGAGAGGGUGAUCGGCCACACUGGAACUGAGACACGGUCCAGACGCCUAAGGGAGGCAGCAGUAGGGAAUCUUCCGCAAUGGGCGAAAGCCUGACGGAGCAACGCCGCGUGAGUGAUGAAGGUCUUCGGAUCGUAAAACUCUGUUAUUAGGGAAGAACAUAUGUGUAAGUAACUGUGCACAUCUUGACGGUACCUAAUCAGAAAGCCACGGCUAACUACGUG